CCUACGGGUGGCAGCAGUAGGGAAUAUUCCACAAUGAGCGAAAGCUUGACGCAGCGACACAGCGUGCACGAUGAAGGUCUUCGGAUCGUAAAGCGCUGUCAUAAGGGAAGAACAUUCGCAAUACUAAAUGACUGCAGAUUGACGGUACCUUCUCAGAAAGCGAUGGCUAACUAUGUGCCAGCAGCCGCGGUAAUACGUAGGUUGCAAGCGUUAUCCGGAAUUAUUGGGCGUAAAGCGCUCGUAGGCUGUUUGUCAAGUCAGGGGUAAAAUCCCGGGGCUCAACCCGGGCUCGCGUUGGAAACUAGCAAACUAGAGUUAGAUAGAGGAAAGCGGAAUUCCAGGUGAAGGAGUGAAAUGCGUAGAUAUAUGGAAGAACACCAGAGGCGAAGGCGACUAACUGGGUCUAUACUGACGCUGAGGGGCGAAAGCGUGGGGAGCAAACAGGAUUAGAUACCCCGGUAGUC
rnacentral:rRNA from 1 species